rnacentral:misc_RNA from 1 species
GCUACAUUGCUCCUGAAGUGUUCUCAAGGAACUUUGGGAACGUUUCCUACAAGUCAGAUGUUUAUAGUUUUGGAAUGUUGGUGUUAGAAAUGGUUGGAGGAAGGAAGAGUACUGUUGAUGUCAAAGAAAGAACAAGUGAUCAAAUAUACUUUCCAGAAUGGAUUUAUAAUCUUUUGGAAGGAGGAGAAGAUCUAAGGUUGGAAAUUGAUACAGAGGAAGACAAUGGAAUUGCAAAGAAACUUGCAAUAGUG